GCCAGUGGUAGCUCAGUGGGUAAAGUGUCGGGCUACUACUUGGAAGGUUAUGAGUUCAAUCCCCAGUGCUGCCA